rnacentral:rRNA from 1 species
UAGGGAAUAUUGGACAAUGGGGGCAACCCUGAUCCAGCCAUGCCGCGUGAGUGAAGAAGGCCUUCGGGUUGUAAAGCUCUUUUGUCCGGGAAGAAAAGCAUCUGGCUAAUACCUGGAUGUGUUGACGGUACCGGAAGAAUAAGCACCGGCUAACUUCGUGCCAGCAGCCGCGGUAAUACGAAGGGUGCAAGCGUUACUCGGAAUUACUGGGCGUAAAGCGUGCGUAGGUGGUCUGCUAAGUCUGAUGUGAAAGCCCUGGGCUCAACCUGGGAAUGGCAUUGGAAACUGGCGGGCUAGAGUGCGGUAGAGGGUAGUGGAAUUCCCGGUGUAGCAGUGAAAUGCGUAGAGAUCGGGAGGAACAUUCGUGGCGAAGGCGGCUACCUGGACCAGCACUGACACUGAGGCACGAAAGCGUGGGGAGCAAACA